GUUGAAGCCGUAGCCGGACUCGGACUUGACGAUGCGCACGACCCGCGGGCCGCUGCCUCCGCCGUUCCCGGCGCAGUGGAGCCCUGAACCCCCGCCGCCGCCGCCGCCUCCGUUCCGUACAGUAGAAUUAUUUGCAAAUGGCAGCAAUUGAUGUGUUUUGGCUACCUUCCCAAACACAAACUUACAGAUAUUGUGCAGAAUGCCUAGGAAAAGCAAGUAAGAAGAGCAAGAGCAAAAAUAAUAGCAAGACUUUCCACCCCCAAAAAUGCCCUGCAAGGAAACCCCCUGAGCAGAAUAGAAGCAGCUGCCACCCCCCGGACUGUCCCCUUGGAGGUUACCUGCAGCUGUCUUCCUUCGCUUCCUAGUCCUCCGUCUAUA